UACGGAGGGGGCUAGCGUUGUUCGGAAUUACUGGGCGUAAAGCGCACGUAGGCGGCUGUUUAAGUCAGAGGUGAAAGCCUGGAGCUCAACUCCAGAACUGCCUUUGAAACUAGACAGCUAGAAUCAUGGAGAGGUGAGUGGAAUUCCGAGUGUAGAGGUGAAAUUCGUAGAUAUUCGGAAGAACACCAGUGGCGAAGGCGGCUCACUGGACAUGUAUUGACGCUGAGGUGCGAAAGCGUGGGGAGCAAACAGG
rnacentral:rRNA from 1 species